rnacentral:rRNA from 1 species
GAUGAACGCUGGCGGCGUGCCUAAUACAUGCAAGUUGAGCGAUGAAGGUUGGUACUUGUACCUACUGGAUGAGCAGCGAACGGGUGAGUAACGCGUGGGGAAUCUGCCUUUGAGAGGGGGAUAACAUCGGGAAACGAAUGCUAAUACCGCAUAAAAACUUUAAACACAUGUUUUGAGAUUGAAAGAUGCAUUUGCUAUCACUUAUGGUGAUACCUCGUUGGAUUAGCUAGGUGGGGAGGUAAAGGCCUUACAAGGCGAUGGUUCAGUGCCGGCCUGGAGGGGUGGUCGGCCACAUUUGGACUGGGACACGGCCCAAACUCCUUCGGGGAGCAGCAGGAGGGAAACUUCGGGAAAUGACGAAAGUCUUACCGGACAACGCCGCGGGGAUUAAGAAGGGUUUCGGAUCGUAAAACUCUUUUUAUUGGGAAGAACGUUGGUGGUAAGUGAAUGCGCAUCAAGUGACGGUAACUACCCAGAAAGCCACGGCUAACUACGUG